rnacentral:rRNA from 1 species
AGUGAACGCUGGCGGUAGGCCUAACACAUGCAAGUCGAACGGCAGCACAGUAAGAGCUUGCUCUUACGGGUGGCGAGUGGCGGACGGGUGAGGAAUACAUCGGAAUCUACUUUUUCGUGGGGGAUAACGUAGGGAAACCUACGCUAAUACCGCAUACGACCUACGGGUGAAAGCAGGGGAUCUUCGGACCUUGCGCGAUUGAAUGAGCCGAUGUCGGAUUAGCUAGUUGGCGGGGUAAAGGCCCACCAAGGCGACGAUCCGUAGCUGGUCUGAGAGGAUGAUCAGCCACACUGGAACUGAGACACGGUCCAGACUCCUACGGGAGGCAGCAGUGGGGAAUAUUGCACAAUGGGCGGAAGCCUGAUGCAGCAACGCCGCGUGCGGGAUGACGGCCUUCGGGUUGUAAACCGCUUUCGCCUGUGACGAAGCGUGAGUGACGGUAAUGGGUAAAGAAGCACCGGCUAACUACGUG